CGUUUAGAGGAAGUAAAAGUCGUAACAAGGUCUCCGUUGGUGAACCAGCGGAGGGAUCAUUA
rnacentral:rRNA from 1 species